rnacentral:rRNA from 1 species
AGUGAACGCUGGCGGUAGGCCUAACACGUGCAAGUCGAACGGCAGCACGGUAAGAGCUUGCUCUUACGGGUGGCGAGUGGCGGACGGGUGAGGAAUACAUCGGAAUCUACUUUUUCGUGGGGGAUAACGUAGGGAAACUUACGCUAAUACCGCAUACGACCUACGGGUGAAAGCAGGGGAUCUUCGGGCCUUGCGCGAUUGAAUGAGCCGAUGUCGGAUUAGCUAGUUGGCGGGGUAAAGGCCCACCAAGGCGACGAUCCGUAGCUGGUCUGAGAGGAUGAUCAGCCACACUGGAACUGAGACACGGUCCAGACUCCUACGGGAGGCAGCAGUGGGGAAUAUUGGACAAUGGGCGCAAGCCUGAUCCAGCCAUACCGCGUGGGUGAAGAAGGCCUUCGGGUUGUAAAGCCCUUUUGUUGGGAAAGAAAAGCAGCAGGUUAAUACCCCGCUGUUCUGACGGUACCCAAAGAAUAAGCACCGGCUAACUUCGUG